UGGGAACUACAAGGGCUUCUUCCUAUUUCUUCUUCUUUUUACAAUAUAUAUACACAGACAUUGACAUAUAGAAAGGCAAGGAUAAAAGGACUGGACACAAAAAAACGCAGAGAAGAGGAUGAGCUAAAAAAAUGCUAGAGGCUAGACCCCAAGCAGCGUUGCUCUUCAUCAGCGAGAAAAAAACAAAAAAAAAAUGAAAAUGGACAACCAUUUUCCAUGAACGACCCUUGUUUCUAGAUCUUCAACUUUCAGCCAUAACCACUUAUCCUCUUCAACCAAAACCGUCCACCCUCUUCAUCUCCAUAACAACCCGCCACUCUAUCAUCUCCCUCACUUCACACAUCAUCUGGAACACAAACACAUACAGAGCAACACCCAUCUCCUUCUUCCUCCUCCUCCAACAGCUUGUCGGAAAAAUGAGCUCUAGUAGAUUGCCGGAUUAACGAGCUCCAGCCAAGCAAUAAUGAAAUAGGACAGCCAAAAACCAGUCCACCCUCUGAACCUCUGUGAUGCUAAAAAGCUACGGCCACAACGACCUCAUUCUUUUCUUUUCCUCACUUUGUUUCGCUGCUUAACACCCCAGCGACAGAUCUGGCCAGAUUUUAGAUUUUUUCGGCGACCUCCAUUAAAACCGAUGGAGUUUCAUUUGAGUCGAAUUUUGCCGGUUCGAGGUUCCCGCGCUGCUACAUUUUUCAUUCGAGUCUGUGUCUGUUAGUUGAGCGUCGAAAUAGUGUUGUGAAUGAAGUUGUGUUUCAUCGGAAGUUCAUCAUUGUUCGACGUCAAAUCGUUAGCAUAAAGGUUAGCAGUAGCUCGUUCCAUUUUCUAUGAAGGUUUAGUUCUCGAUUUGUUCCUUUUAUUGUAUUUUAUUCUGUUACUAUUUUAUUAAAUAUGUAUUUCGAUUUUUUGUGAAACCUGCAUGAAAGAGGCGUUUUUUUCUUAUGGUUUCUUUUGUGUUUUUAGUUGUUGGAUUUCAUUAAGAUUAGUGUAGUUAGCAAAUUUUCAAAGCGUAAUUUCUC
rnacentral:lncRNA from 1 species